rnacentral:rRNA from 1 species
UACGUAGGGUGCAAGCGUUAAUCGGAAUUACUGGGCGUAAAGCGUGCGCAGGCGGUUUUGUAAGACUGUCGUGAAAUCCCCGGGCUCAACCUGGGAAUGGCGAUGGAUACUGGGCAGCUAGAGUGUGUCAGAGGAUGGUGGAAUUCCCGGUGUAGCGGUGAAAUGCGUAGAGAUCGGGAGGAACAUCAGUGGCGAAGGCGGCCAUCUGGGACAACACUGACGCUGAAGCACGAAAGCGUGGGGAGCAAACAGG